AACGAACGCUGGCGGCAUGCCUAACACAUGCAAGUCGAACGAGACCUUUGGGUCUAGUGGCGCACGGGUGCGUAACGCGUGGGAAUCUGCCCUUGGGUUCGGAAUAACAGUGAGAAAUUGCUGCUAAUACCGGAUGAUGUCUUCGGACCAAAGAUUUAUCGCCCAGGGAUGAGCCCGCGUAGGAUUAGCUAGUUGGUGGGGUAAUGGCCUACCAAGGCGACGAUCCUUAGCUGGUCUGAGAGGAUGAUCAGCCACACUGGGACUGAGACACGGCCCAGACUCCUACGGGAGGCAGCAGUGGGGAAUAUUGGACAAUGGGCGCAAGCCUGAUCCAGCAAUACCGCGUGAGUGAUGAAGGCCUUAGGGUUGUAAAGCUCUUUUACCAGGGAUGAUAAUGACAGUACCUGGAGAAUAAGCUCCGGCUAACUCCGUG
rnacentral:rRNA from 1 species